rnacentral:misc_RNA from 1 species
GUUUAGCCCUGAUUGAAGCAUUUGUUUGAGCUCUUUUUAGAGGUACGAUAAAAAAGCGAGUGCGGAAAGCAGGAAAUAGC